rnacentral:lncRNA from 1 species
UUUUUUUUUUUUUUUCUCUGCAUGUGCAAUUGAGAAUUGUUGACUCUGGAUUUACUUUUCAUGCACUGGUUUGAAAUCCACUUUCUUUAACAAUUAAUCUGUCUUUCUUAUUUAAUCCAAACAACUAUACCUGUAGCUAUCAUAAUGUUUACUCAGAGUAGUAAGUGGUAAACCCCCACAAUUAAUAUUCCUCUAGGGAGCAGCUAUAGUAGCCUCUUCAGACCCUUGUGUGAAAAGUCUCUGCCCCCUCAGUGCAUGCCUAACAAAUACUGUUCCUCAACCAAACACCACUAACGCCUAAAUUAGGAAACAAAAUCCUAGGAAUAACAGACUUCUAUAAGGAGGUAAGACUCUCUGACCAGCAGCUUCAACAGAGCAAUCUUGUUUCUAAACAUAGAAGCAAUUUUCGGGCCUCUUUUCAGGGCAGAGAGACAAUUAUUGGCAAAACAAAUAAGGCAGUGUCUAUACCUCAGGCACUGAGUGAAUGCCGUCUGGUCAAGGUCUAUAGCAUGGGACAACAGCACAUCAGUUUUGCUGGGCUGUGCUGGCUAAAGACCACUCCUAAUUGUCUUUGAACGGUUGCAGCAUGUCCCCUUAAAUGAUGGAUUAACUAACUAAAACAGAAUGUGAGACACAGGGGGAUCACGAUGCACUUCACACCCGCUCACCUAGUAACAAAAAUAUAUGGUAUUCACUGGAGACGGACAACUGUAGUCAAGAAUGCUAAUAACAUUUGAAGCUUCAGGAUACAGUUUCCAAGUAGUCUCAAAAUUCUGAUUAUGCCCUGAAACUAUCCCUUGGAAUUUAUCUGAGUGUCAGGGCAGGGAUGUGAUGGAUUAAUGUUCUCCUCUCCAGUGACGUUAGAACUAUGAACGGAAUAUAUACAGUUUCUACAAAUAGCUUCAUUGAGCUUCCAGAUUGUUCCUCAUUAAUGACCACUGUAGGGGCAUUAUUUCAGACUCCAUGACAUCUACCUGCAUCAAUGCGCUUCCUCGUAAUUCCACCCCCAUCCCUACUUCAUGAUUUUACCCCAGGAUCGCGUUCUUUAUUUCUACCCAAACACAAUAACUUCCACACAGGAGUUUUAAAAAAAGUUAGGUUGUUCUGAUCUCAAAAUUCUUUUAUCUUCUUGACCUUUUCCCUUCUCCUGUUUUCAUCUUGACAUCUUUCAACUCUGGAUAGCCUACAUGUUCUUUCUUCUCUGCUUUUGCUGCCAUGCCCCAAAGCAAGUCACAGUAAUUUCAGUCAUUUUUUUGUGUGUGUGCUCAUCCUCAAGGUUUUCGCCUCACUUCCCUUCACAUUUAGCCAAUGACUUCAUUUCUGCUCUGAUGAGAAUGAGAUCACUUCAUGGGAAUUUGUUCCACUUCACUUCUCCUGCAUCCUUAGCCAUCCUGUCCUCUUUUGUUCAUUUCUCUCUCUCUCUUUCUCUUUUUGCCUGGCACAUAGUAGUAAUUAAAGAAAUACUUGUUGAAUGAAUGAAUAAUUGCUUCUUGAUAUCAGUCCCUCAAACUAAUGGUAGUACUUUGCCCAGCUCCCCUUCACCUUCAUUCUUUCCUCUUCUUGAAUACAUGAUUAAUUUUCUUUGCCUUACUGUUUUUUCUCUAAAGGACAUUCUCUUUUUUUGAUUGUGCUUGUUGUAUAAGGGGAAAAAGAUGAAAAGCUCGAAAAAUAUUUUAAAAAUUACUGGUAUACAGAGAAAAUUGCUGAUAACAUUUAGGUGCUUUUUUCUAUGCUUUUAUUUAUUCAAACUAAAUAACUCCUAUUUUAUCCAAAAGCCUUCCAUUUAUGCCUCAAGUUUCUUCUACUUGCCACAACAUUUUUUAACUGAGUCACUGGAAGCAAGUGAAUUUUUCUCAGCUUAAGUUUAUGCAUCUAUGAAAUCAAUAAGGAGAAUCACUCACAUAAUUAUAUGGUGGAGAUUAAAGGCAAUAUUAGAUAUAAGAAUUUAUAUAGGGCUCGGCACACAGUAGCUGCUCAAUAAACAAUAAACAUUAACCCUUGUCAUCUCCCUUCUUUCAUCUUUAAGAUUCUUUAAAAAUUAUCCUCCUUCACUACUUCCCUUUCACAACCGUUCACUUAUUUCUUACCUACUGUUUGGCAUAUUCAAGAGAAUAUAUGUAGCAGGUUCAUUAUAACUUGUAACAAUAGUAUGAAUACUUCUGAGUCCCAUCCUCUUAAGAACUACAACAUCCUCAGGGCACCUGGGUGGUGCAGUGAGUUAAGAGUCCACUCUCGGUUUUGGUUUAGGUCAUGAUCUCCAGUUCAUGAGAUGGAGCCCUGCAUUGAGCUCGGAGGGGUCUCUGCUUAAGAUUCUCUCUCCCCCACACUCCCCUCUAACAUACUCUCUCAAAUAAAUAAAUCUUUUUUAAAAAAGAGCUACAACAUUCCCAAUAUCUCCACUCGUUUUUGUACUUGAUGUCUUUGCAUGUACAGUUAUCUCUUUUUGGAGAGAGAGUCCUCCAUUUCCAACUGCAGAAAUUCUUCCCAUUUUCUUGUGUCUAGACUACACACCACCCACUCCUUUGUGUUUUCCUUGAUUGCCAGGCUGCAUAUUACCUCUUAGUUCUCUGAGUCUUUACCAUGGUUCUUUCCUAAUAUAAUUUUUUGCUUUGCAAUAUAAUUAUUUGUGUGUAAACAUACGCUACUAGAUAGUAUGGAAGUCUUGGUGAUAGAAGUUGUGUCAUUUUUAUUUCUUUGAACAUAGUAUAUUCGCAAAAAAUAUUUGUUGGUUGAAAAAUUUGGCUCACCAAAGUAUUUAUAAUAUUCUCAUGAGAAAGGAAAUCAUAUCAUGCUUCUAACACACACACACACACACACACACACACACACACACACUAUAACAGGAAGCAGUUAACUGUUAGGACCAAUUAGGAAAUUAGAAAGUUUAGAUGGAAGAGUCAUUUUCAGGAUGUGUAGAACUCCCUCUUUUCAUCUCCUACUGAAGCUCCUGCUUCUGUCAUCCCAACCUCCAAACUUCACGGCCAUAAUGUUCUUUAGAGGAGAUUCAAAUUCCCACCAUUAGCAAGAACUGAGAAGUUCAAGAAUUAGCAUAGACAAUCACCAUAAAAUGUGUUCAUGUUAAAUCAGGCUGGAGAUAACAUCAACAAGCAAUAAUACAACUAGGAUGUGCCUUGCCCUACAAGGCAGGGUUCUAAUGGAUAAGAUAGACAAAAAGGUAAUGUUUUGAGAGAAAAAAACUUAAACUGGUUUAUCUGAAAAGCCAUCAGAAUGUGGACCCUACUUAGGAGAGAGUAAUUCCAUGCAGACUCUGAGUUCCACUCUUAGCUAAGGACUAAGGACAGAGCACAGGAUAACUACAAGGCAACAUGAUAGAGUUAAAUCUUGGUCUACUUUACAAGGUUCUUUCUUAGCUUAGAAGUUAUAUAAAAUAUAUUACAUUAGAUUUUAUCAUCUUUAAGUUCUAUAAAACUCAGAUAAUACUUUUAAGAAUCUAAGACCUUGAGAAAUAUACUCUAUACAUAAUCAGUAGCACCUAGUGAAAAUAAAAUCUUGCAUAAUUUAUAAUUUUAUGGUCCACUUACUAUUUUCACUGCAGCACAAUUCUACUUAGGUACCUUCCGGCCACAGUGGAGUUACUAGCUGUAGAUCAGCCUUCCUCCUGUAAACAUCUAUUACACUGGACAAAGUUUUUUCAGGCAUUAGACUGCAGGUAGUGUGAUUCCUGAGAGAAUGCAAAGUCAUGAGGUAGCUGUCAUGAGCCUCAGUUUCUUUCUAGAAACAAUUUCCAAAUAAUAGUUCAGAGAUGGGGAGUCUGAGCAGAGUACACGGUGGUUCCUCUGAGGUAAGGAGGCAGAGAUUAGGUUUUGGGGUAAACAAGUGGCUAGAAUCUGUGAUAUUUAGCAUGCAGAGAAAGAAGGUAUGCAGAGAAAGGACUAUACAGAUGUAUGCCUGGGUUGUCUAUAAAUCUGUGGCUGAAGGCUAGGCUGCACACAUGAAAGGCAAAAUCAUCUCACACCUAUUAGAGAGUGGCUAGCACGGCAUUGGGAAGAGAAGAAUGGAAUUACAGAUGUAGCAAUUUUCCAGGAAUAUCAGUGUCAGAGAACUUUAGACUUCUAGAUUUAGCAUGGAAAUAUCCUAUUAAGGCAUGCUCUUAGUAAGGAGCAUAUCUUAGAAGUAAGGAUUAUGAGUUAGAGGAAGGUCUAUCUAUCUUAGGCCCUCCAAACAAAACUUAAACUCCAACAAAAAACACAGGGAGAGAGGGUUUGGAGAUUGAGUCCUGCCAAAUUAGGAAGACUUUAGAAACAUUGGAGUCACUCCGCAGUUCUGUACUUAUAGAACAACAAACCAGAGACAGCAUUAAAUUCAAGGCUAUAAAUGAUAAAUUGGACUACAUGUUAAAACAAGCGUCCAAAUUUGUCAGAGGAAGAUAGCAGCAUCUAUAACCUCUUCAAUGUAUUAUCCAUGACUUGAGACCUAAAAGACAGAAGAAAAUGUGAUCCAUAAGAAAAAAAAAUCAAGAAAAAAAAAUGAGUGUUAACCUAUGCAAACUUUUUCAAAA